rnacentral:rRNA from 1 species
CACGUAGGGGGCAAGCGUUGUCCGGAUUUAUUGGGCGUAAAGAGCUCGUAGGUGGUUCGGUAAGUCAGGUGUGAAACCUCCAGGCUCAACCUGGAGACGCCACUUGAUACUGCUGUGACUGGAGUCCGGUAGGGGAGCGUGGAAUUCCUGGUGUAGCGGUGAAAUGCGCAGAUAUCAGGAGGAACACCAGCGGCGAAGGCGGCGCUCUGGGACGGUACUGACGCUGAGACGCGAAAGCGUGGGGAGCGAACAGG